rnacentral:rRNA from 1 species
AUUGAACGCUGGCGGCAGGCCUAACACAUGCAAGUCGAACGAGUGGCGGACGGGUGAGUAAUGUCUGGGAAACUGCCUGAUGGAGGGGGAUAACUACUGGAAACGGUAGCUAAUACCGCAUACCAUCGGAUGUGCCCAGAUGGGAUUAGCUAGGAGGUGGGGUAACGGCUCACCUAGGCGACGAUCCCUAGCUGGUCUGAGAGGAUGACCAGACACACUGGAACGGAGACACGGUCCAGACUCCGACGGGAGGAAGCAGUGGGGAAUAUUGCACAAGGGGCGCAAGCCUGAUGCAGCGAUGCGGCGUGUGUGAAGAAGGCCUUGGGGUUGUAAAGCACUAUCAGCAGGGAGGAGUUACCCGAAGAAGAAGCACCGGCUAACUCCGUGCCAGCAGCCGCGGUAAUAC